AACUGUGCGCUCGUGAAAUGUUUUGGGCUGACUCUCACUACGGGAGCUGGCAUGGUGGCGAGAACGCGGAGCGUCUUCCCGGGACUGCAUGGUGGAGACGGCGGCAGAGCUCUGAAGAAAGAGAGGCUGCCGGGAUGCGGCUCUGGCUCCUCCCCACCCUUCCUUCACAGACGCUAGGACAACUGCGUCUCCGAAGAGACUGAGCUUACCCUCACAAGACUGGCUGACCGGAGUCCGGAGCUGCGACUGCUGUGCUACUGGCAGGCGUCCAGGGCAACUACCGCUCCCAGGUUGCCUUUCGCGCCUCGAGGCAUGCCGGGCGCCCCUCCCACUCUCCUGUGCUGAGACUGACAGAGGCGCUCUGCAUGUAGGGAGCGAUGGACGGCGAGCAUUCUCCUCUGUUGCUUGCUUUGCCAGAUGAUGGAAGAAAGCGCCCGAUUGGGAGAAAGCACCAAUUCUCUUCGGUUUGAUAUGGUUUCGAACGUUGAGUAUGGAAAGCAGAUUAGUCGGCUGAUACUAUGAUUGAGAGAGAAAGACAGAGGAAGAGAGAGCUGGACUGGAAGAGGAGUGAACAGGACAGAAUCCGGUGCCCUAACCAGGACUAGAACCCGGGGUGCCAGCGCCGCAGGAGGAGGAUUAGCCAAAUUUACUUAUUUGAAAGUCAGAGAGAAAGAGAUCUUUCCAUGUGCUGGUUCACUUCCCAGAUGGCCACAACAAACAGGGCUAGGCCAGGCCUGAAGACAGGAACUUAACCACCUUGUGGUGGCAGGGGCCCAAACACUAAUGACUCCACUUAUCAGCAGAGGUAAGUUUUUCUUGCACUUACGGUCCUGGGCAUCACACACAGGACACAUCAGUAAUUAUCCAUGGUCAUUUGACAGUUUUAGCCAUCAUGGUAAUUACAAACACACUAUACACAGGACAUUAAAUCUCUAGACUUUAAGAAUUUUAAGAAUAAAAGUACACAAUGUGGAGGGCAAGAAAUAAAAAAAAAUGGAUAUUUUACAUUAGUUUAUACUUAUACCUAAAAAAGUUUUAAUGUUCUAUUUGAGUACCGAAUUCUUCCCACCAAUAAGACAAGCAACUCAUAUAUAACAAUCUUGGCUUUUGUUUUAAAAAUGAAAAGAUUAUUAUGUCAUAAAGUUGCUGGUUUUCCUUAAAUGCAAAUCAAGUAACAUGUAGCAUCACAUCUUAAUAUUCAAUACCAAAUGACCAAGAAAAAAAUAGCAGCGCUAAUAGUCAUGGCCACAAUGAUACAAAAACAUCUAAGAGAGUUUAGGAUGAUUUCUAGGAUAAGAAACAUAAAAAGGCAGAUAACAAGCCUCAAGAGAUAUUCCUAGCAGCAACGGUAAACAGAUUUUAAGUCAAGCCUUGAAAAGAACCAUUUGGGGGCCUGUGCUGUGGCACAGAAGGUUAAUGCCCUGGCCUCCCAUAUGGGUGCCGGUUCGAGUCCCCGCUGCCCCUCUUCUAAUCCAGCUCUUUGUUAUGG